CUUAACGAAAGAAUGAAGAGCAAGCUGCGUUCUGGGCUUGUUUUCAUUUGUUCGUGACUC
rnacentral:miRNA from 1 species